ensembl:lncRNA
UUUUAUGUUGCAAUUAACAUAAUUCUUAACCUAAUUAUUUAAAAUAAUGUUGUCUGUGCCCUACAAAUUGUACUAGGUUUUUUUUUUUUUUUUUGGCCCCAAAACUGAGAGAAAAGGAUAAGGCCUAAGAGAUUUCUUAAGCUGUAAUGAUGAAAAAAUAAAAAACGACAACACACAAUUACUGAUUUUUUUUUUCUUUUUUUUUUCUUCUGGUGAUUAAAGAGAUGUUAACUCUCUCUCUCUCUCUCUCUCUCUCUCUCUGUCAGGCAGGCAGGCCCUCAAGCACCCCCACCCCCCUCCCUUCACACACUCAGUCACCAACAACAAAUCAGUCACUUAGUCAGUCACCAACAGCACACACACUCAGUCACCAAACC